AACGUAGGUGGCAAGCGUUAUCCGGAAUUACUGGGCGUAAAGGGUGUGCAGGCGGGGAAGCAAGUGGUGUAUGAAAUAUCCCAGCUUAACUGGGAGGGGUUAUGCCAGACUGCUUUCUAGAGGACGAGAGAGGGGGUGGAAUCCGGUGAGUGGUGAAAUGCGUAGAGAUCCGGAGGAACACCAGUGGCGAAGGCGACACGCUGGCCGUACCUGACACUGAAGCCGCGACGAGCAUGGGGAGCAAACAGG
rnacentral:rRNA from 1 species